rnacentral:rRNA from 1 species
AACGAACGCUGGCGGCACGUUUUAAGCAUGCAAGUCGAACGGCAGUGGGGGCAACCCCAUGAGAGUGGCGAACGGGUGAGUAACCGGUAGGUGAUCUGCCUUUGGGUUGGGGAUAGCGUGUGGAAACACAGGGGAAUACCGAAUGAGCUGACGAGGCUUUGGCCAUGUUAGUAAAGGUGCUACUGCACCGCCUAGAGAGGAGCCUGCGGCUGAGUAGCUAGUUGGUGGGGUAAAGGCCUACCAAGGCGACGAUCAGUGGCCGGCCUGAGAGGGUGUACGGCCACACUGGAACUGAGACACGGUCCAGACUCCUACGGGAGGCAGCAGCUAAGAAUCUUCCGCAAUGGGCGAAAGCCUGACGGAGCGAUGCCGCGUGAUCGAUGAAGGUCGAGAGAUUGUAAAGAUCUUUUCCAACUGAGGAAUAAGUGGACCAGGGAAUGGGUUCAUGAUGACGUUAAGUUGGGAAUAAGCCCCGGCUAAUUACGUACCAGCAGCCGCCGUAA